AGUGAACGCUGGCGGUAGGCCUAACACAUGCAAGUCGAACGGCAGCACAGUAAGAGCUUGCUCGUACGGGUGGCGAGUGGCGGACGGGUGAGGAAUACAUCGGAAUCUACUUGUUCGUGGGGGAUAACGUAGGGAAACUUACGCUAAUACCGCAUACGACCUACGGGUGAAAGCAGGGGAUCUUCGGACCUUGCGCGAUUGAAUGAGCCGAUGUCGGAUUAGCUAGUUGGCGGGGUAAAGGCCCACCAAGGCGACGAUCCGUAGCUGGUCUGAGAGGAUGAUCAGCCACACUGGAACUGAGACACGGUCCAGACUCCUACGGGAGGCAGCAGUGGGGAAUUUUGGACAAUGGGCGAAAGCCUGAUCCAGCCAUACCGCGUGGGUGAAGAAGGCCUUCGGGUUGUAAAGCCCUUUUGUUGGGAAAGAAAAGCAGCAGGUUAAUACCCCGCUGUUCUGACGGUACCCAAAGAAUAAGCACCGGCUAACUUCGUG
rnacentral:rRNA from 1 species